CUUAUAAUAACGCAGAGAGAGGCAACGCAGAGAGAGGAGUCUGAAGAAGAGGAGUCAGAGGAGGAAGGUGGCUUUGAGGAGGUGGAAGACCAAACUCAGCAGGCGUCCCAGGGGGCUUGUUGUCACCUUUCGGGGACCCUUGGUGUUGUACGUGGCUGGGUGGAGGAAGAGACCUUCAAUGACAUCAGUGAGGACAAGGAACGGG